rnacentral:tRNA from 1 species
AAAAUACUAGUAAAAUUGAACAUUACAUUGCUUUGUCAAGGCAAAAUUGCAGGUUGAAAUCCUGCGUAUUUUA